UUAAAUUGAAGAGUUUGAUCAUGGCUCAGAUUGAACGCUGGCGGCAGGCCUAACACAUGCAAGUCGAGCGGAAACGAC
rnacentral:rRNA from 4 species